CCAACGGGACGCAGCAGUGGGGAAUAUUGCACAAUGGGGGGAACCCUGAUGCAGCAACGCCGCGUGAAGGAAGAAGGCUUUCGGGUUGUAAACUUCUAUCAAUAGGGACGAAAAGAAUGACGGUACCUAAAUAAGAAGCCCCGGCCAACUACGUGCCAGCAGCUGCGGUAAUACGUAGGGGGCAAGCGUUAUCCGGAAUUACUGGGUGUAAAGGGAGCGUAGGCGGCAUGGUAAGCCAGAUGUGAAAGCCCGCGGCUUAACUGAGGAACUGCAACUAAAACUGAUUUUCUUGAGUACUGGAGAGG
rnacentral:rRNA from 1 species